rnacentral:rRNA from 1 species
GUGACCUCAAAUCAGGUAGGACUACCCGCUGAACUUAAGCGUAUCAAUAAUCGGAGGACUAGUAACUGCGAGUGAAGCUUGAAAACUCUAAUUUAAAUCUGACAGUCUUUGGCUGUCCGAGUUGUAAUCUAAACAGGUUAUCUGCGCUGGACCUGAUCAGUCUCCUGAAUGUGACUCUAAAGGUGGGUAUGCUGUCUUUGAUAGGACAGCGAGGGCUUCGUGAUGAAUCGUCUACAAUCUCAGUUGUUUGAGAUGCAGAUCAGA